rnacentral:tRNA from 3 species
GGGCGAUUAGCUCAGCUGGCUAGAGCGCUGCCGUCACAUGGCAGAGGUCGUUGGUUCGAGUCCAAUAUCGCCCA